rnacentral:tRNA from 1 species
ACCCAAGUAGCUCAGUUGGUUAGAGCGAGACCAAAUAGUCCGUCGCAUGAAAUCCAGUUGGUCUUUAAAAAGCUGGUUGAAAGACGCAGGUUCGAGUCCUGCCUUGGGUGCCA